UCCUUCUUCUUUCUUCCUCCUCCUCCUUCCUGGUUGGCCGCACGCCAGAUGUGGCGGAACCGCCCAACUUAAGCUGGUUUAAGUGCGCCUAAUUGCUGUCGGAACAGCAAUUAUCCGAAACGCACCUAAAACAGCAUAAGUCCGGUAGUCCGUCGAGUGUCCCUAGGACUCCUCGAAGGAUCCACGACGUGUCUCAUAGCCAUACAUCAGGAUAAUAUCCGCGAUGGGAUAAUAUCAACAAAUAUUACAUUUUUAAAGACAUAUCAGAGGUACGAUAUAUUACAACCAUAGUUUGAAACAAUUUAGUCAUGCAGGUCAGUGUGGUUCUAAGAAUUUAAAACCAGUCUGGAAGAAAAAAAAAACAAAUAUUUAAGUUUCAAUCUAGAGUAUCAUGAGACUCAUAAGAUACCCUAGGUCUUCGGGGCUUCCUCUUCGGUGAGUCCCUGCUGGCUUUCUGAAAACAACAACAAGGGAUCCCCUGAGUACGAAGUACUCAGCAAGUCUUACCCGACUAACCAAUAUAAUAGCUUUUCUUUGGAAUGCAUGUUAGCCUUUGGGUGUGCUUGGUUGACACAAUUUUUGCCGAAAAAGCUUACUAUGAGUGAGACCUUAGUUUUAUCUUUUAUUUGAGUUAAGUCAUUACCUAAACAUUCUAGAUGAUAACAGAAGUAAAAUAAUCACAGCUGUUAAAUCAUACAGUACUUGGCAACAGAAGAUUUUAUAUCGCAUGAGUUCAUGCUACGAAGCUUAACAGCGAUCAAGUGCAUUCAUAACCAAGAAUUGCGGCGAUCCGGAUCUAAUUACAUCCUGCAGGAGAGUACCCUGAUCACCAGCAAUAUACGACUGUUCCGGUCGUAUCUCACAACCUCUCGAUUAGCAAAGUCAAUGAUUAGGAAUACAACUACCCGGACCCAGGGAUGCACCCCCACAUGGGACCCCACGUCUGGCCUGAUCUCCAUGUGAGUUUCAGGCUACACCCCUGCCAAUCUCCAGCACGUCAAAUGCGGGUACGAAGCAUUCCUGAUCAUAGAAUUUACUAAUCUACUGGGCUUUACUGGUCCCAUACCCAGUAAGUGAUCAGAUGUUAUCACUUGAUCAAUGGUUAAGACACGAUUCGGUCCUUAACCAGAUUAAUCUAACAGACAGAACUACACCUCUAGCUUCUGUCCCUUUCCAUAUCCCAAACUGUCCUUCAUAAGCAACAUGUAUGACUUAAGAGUUUUCCUUAAGGUUAGUAAACCAAUCAUGUAAGCAAGUAAGCAAUUCUAGACUUGGGUAGUUUCUAAGGUUUGAACAAGUGGCAAAGAUGUCCUUAAAUCAAGGCAUGAUCAUACACAAGAAUAGGUUUCAUUCAACUCCUAGACUUAGUGCAUACAUAUAGCAAAUAACCGAUAACUGGACACAUGAAAUAAUGACUCCAAAAUAGAUAGGUAUAGAUGCACCGGGGCUUGCCUGGGAUCAACAAAGGUUAGUUCUUCGGAAAACUUGUUUAUUGAAAGAGGCACUCCACACUUCGCGAACGCUGUCCAUCUCCAGCUGAAUUCCAUGAAUUCCCACUCCAGGAGUUGUGACGUCUACGAUUCAGUAUAUGCAAAGUUAGAGAUGCAAACUUUUGAAUACAAGACUAUACAACUUUCCUUCAUGAUAAAGUUGCAAGCCAACACACAAAAACCCGAAAAGAUUAGCCCACCAUUUAUUUCCUUUACUAAACCUACCUUAGACCUUUUUAUUUAUUUUUAAAAGCAUUAUAAUAAUUUUCUAAUCUCAAAAACCUAAUUCCUAUGAAUUAAUAUUAAUUUGUGGAUAAUAAAGCAUUUUUCAAGUUUUAUACAUUUAAUAAAGUUUAAGCAUUUAUUUAAAUACCUUACACAAAAAGGCAUUAAAUAAAUACCUAAUUUUUUAUUAUUUUUCCUAGGGUUUAAGAAUUUUAAUGCAUAAAGAAAAAUAAAACAAUCCUAAAAAAAUUGGUUUCACUAAUUUUGGGUACUUCUAGAAUUUCAUGUGAAUUAAAUGGUGAAAACAGCAUUUAAUUUAUUUAUCUAGUAAAAGAAAAACCUAAGGUUUAUUUAUAAACCCCCGGCCCAAACUUCUCUCAACUAACCUUCUUCUACCCACUAUUACUUCCACCUAGGGCCCAUCUGGUCUCCUAUUUUCUCCCUCUUUUCUUCACUGACAAGUGGGGCCCACGGCCGAAAUCUUCCCUUGGGCCGGUUCCCCCUUCUCUCUUCUUGUUCAAUUCCGGCCGGCCCAUCUCUUCUUUUUCUUUUCUUUCGCCGACAAUCAGCCUGCUUAAUCCGGCCCAUGGCCUUUCUCUCCUCCGCCGGUCCCCUUCUUCUUUUCCACUCCACCUGGGCCGCACGGUCCAUUUCCUUUCAAGCCAUCGGGCAGCCCACCGGCUUCCCCUUUUCCUUUUACUCGCGCGGGUCAGCUGGGCCAAUUCCUCCCCUUGGCCCAAAAUGGGUGACCGGUCCCUUAUCCUCCUUGCGCCUGCCCCCUUCUCCUCUUAUGCCGCGCGGGCCAGUUGGGCCGCGCCUUUCCUCGGCCCAAAACGGCGGCUGGCCUGCUCCUUCUCUCCGCUUCACCUGGGCCUUUCCCACCGAGGCUUGGCCUCCCGGCCCAAGUUUACCAACCGGCCUGCCUCUCCUCCCUUUCUCCUUCCAAUCCCCUGGCGCCUCUUCUUCCUCCCUGCGCUCAGAACAGGGGCGCACGCCGGCGGGGCAAAACGGGACGGGCCCCGGCCAACGGCGGCUCGCCGGCCGCCGAGAGGGACGGGGUGGCGGCGCCCCAGGCCAGGCGCACCCGCGCCCACCGUCAGCUCGCCAGUAGGUGGCCCGAGCCGGCCCCUCCACGGGCGGCUGCGGCUUGGCCAACCGCCGGCCAUGGCGGCGCAUGUUGGCGGCACAAGGACGACCGGCGGCGCAUUCUACGGCAUCCACAUGACCCAAGCACCCCCUAAACCCGAUCAAAAGAGUGAAAGAAGGGGCGGUGCGGAGGGCUCACCGGAGGACAGUGGUAGCGGCGGGCGGACCGGAGAUGCGGCCGAAACUUGAGCUCGACGACGGAAAACUGAGCAACGGAGCGGCGUGGGGCGUUGAGGAGGAUCUUGCGGAACCUCGGGUGGGUGGAAUCGCAAGGAGAAGCAGCGGCGUGGGUGAAUCGGUCGGAGGCGACACUGAUUUGCUUGAACUUGUUCCUGGCAAAGUAAAACGGCGGGAUGAAACGGAUAAGCGCGGGGGAUAGCGAUGUCGUGAUCUUUCCAUCGCGCAUGCGUGCCACCUCGACAAUUUGAACGCCUGCGUGAGCGUGGACGUGGCCGUGUGCUGGCCGGCGAUUCAAGAUGCCGGCGGCGGCACGGCUCUCCCCUGUUCUGAUCUUUUCUUCAUUUCUUCUUAUCCCUUCCCAUCCGAUAGGUUUACGCUUCAAUUACUCAAACCUUUUGAUCCCAACUCGCAGAAAUCCUGUAAGAAAACUUGUAGAUUAAUCCGAGCACUUCAAUUGAUAGAUGGGCCUUU
rnacentral:lncRNA from 1 species